rnacentral:rRNA from 1 species
UGCAAGUCGAGCGGGGGAAGGUAGCUUGCUACUGGACCUAGCGGCGGACGGGUGAGUAAUACUUAGGAAUCUGCCUAUUAGUGGGGGACAACGUUCCGAAAGGAGCGCUAAUACCGCAUACGCCCUACGGGGGAAAGCAGGGGAUCUUCGGACCUUGCGCUAAUAGAUGAGCCUAAGUCGGAUUAGCUAGUUGGUGGGGUAAAGGCCUACCAAGGCGACGAUCUGUAGCGGGUUUGAGAGGAUGAUCCGCCACACUGGGACUGAGACACGGCCCAGACUCCUACGGGAGGCAGCAGUGGGGAAUAUUGGACAAUGGGCGCAAGCCUGAUCCAGCCAUGCCGCGUGUGUGAAGAAGGCCUUAUGGUUGUAAAGCACUUUAAGCGAGGAGGAGGCUUACCUAGCUAAUACCUAGGAUAAGUGGACGUUACUCGCAGAAUAAGCACCGGCUAACUCUGUGCCAGCAGCCGCGGUAAUACAGAGGGUGCAAGCGUUAAUCGGAAUUACUGGGCGUAAAGCGCGCGUAGGUGGCCAUUUAAGUCAAAUGUGAAAUCCCCGAGCUUAACUUGGGAAUUGCAUUCGAUACUGGAUGGCUAGAGUAUAGGAGAGGAAGG